rnacentral:rRNA from 1 species
AAGGGGGAUACCUUAGUAACGGCGAGUGAAGCGGUAAAAGCUCAAAUUURAAAUCUGGUACUUUCAGUGCCCGAGUUGUAAUUUGUAGAAUUUGUCUUUGAUUAGGUCCUUGKCUAUKUUCCUUGGAACAGGACGUCMUAGAGGGUGAGAAUCCCGUUUGGCGAGGAUACCUUUUCUYUGUAAGACUUUUUCGAARAGUCGAGUUGUUUGGGAAUGCAGCUCAMAGUGGGUGGUAAAUUCCAUCUAAAGCUAAAUAUUGGCGAGAGACCGAUAGCGAACAAGUACAGUGAUGGAAAGAUGAAAAGAACUUUGAAAAGAGAGUGAAAAAGUACGUGAAAUUGUUGAAAGGGAAGGGCAUUUGAUCAGACAUGGUGUUUUUUGCAUGCACUCGCCUCUSGUGGGCUUGGGCCUCUCAAAAAUUUCACUGGGCCAACAUCAAUUCUGGCAGCAGGAUAAAUCAUUAAGAAUGUAGCUACUUCGGUAGUGUUAUAGCUUUUUGGAAUACUGUUAGCCGGGAUUGAGGACUGCGCUUCGGCRAGGAUGUUGGCAUAAUGGUUAAAUGCCGCCCGUCUWGAAAMMMMRRMACAACAAA